rnacentral:rRNA from 1 species
UGGGGAAUUUUGCGCAAUGGGGAAGACCCUGACGCAGCAACGCCGCGUGGAGGAUGAAGUCCCUUGGGACGUAAACUCCUUUCGAUCGGGACGAUUAUGACGGUACCGGAAGAAGAAGCCCCGGCUAACUACGUGCCAGCAGCCGCGGUAAUACGUAGGGGGCGGAGCGUUGUCCGGAGUGACUGGGCGUAAAGGGCUUGUAGGCGGUGAUGCGCGUCAACCGGGCCAGCUGGCAGCUUCCCUGCCGGAGAGCGGUUGAAACGGCAUGACUUGAGGGCGAGAGAGGGACAUGGAACUCCGGGUGGAGUGGUGAAAUGCGUAGAGAUCCGGAAGAACACCAAAGGCGAAGGCAGUGUCCUUGGCUUCGUUCCUGACGCUGAGGAGCGAGAGCUAGGGGAGC